rnacentral:rRNA from 1 species
CGUAGGUGGCAAGCGUUGUCCGGAUUUAUUGGGUUUAAAGGGUGCGUAGGCGGUCUUUUAAGUCAGUGCUGAAAUACUCCAGCUUAACUGGAGGGGUGGCAUUGAUACUGGGAGACUUGAGUAUAGUUGAGGUAGGCGGAAUUGACGGUGUAGCGGUGAAAUGCUUAGAUAUCGUCAAGAACACCGAUAGUGAAGACAGCUUACUAAACUAUAACUGACGCUGAGGCACGAAAGUGUGGGGAUCAAACAGGAUUAGAUACCCUGGUAGUCCACACUGUAAACGUUGAUGACUCGCUGUGUGCGAUAUACAGUACGCGGCUAAGCGAAAGCGAUAAGUCAUCCACCUGGGGAGUACGCCGGCAACGGUG